rnacentral:rRNA from 1 species
GACGAACGCUGGCGGCGUGCUUAACACAUGCAAGUCGAGCGGUAAGGCCCUUUCGGGGGUACACGAGCGGCGAACGGGUGAGUAACACGUGGGUGACCUGCCCUCAGCUCUGGGAUAAGCCUGGGAAACCGGGUCUAAUACUGGAUAUGACUCCAUGACGCAUGUUGUGGGGUGGAAAGCCUUGUGCGGCUGAGGAUGGGCCCGCGGCCUAUCAGCUUGUUGGUGGGGUGAUGGCCUACCAAGGCGACGACGGGUAGCCGGCCUGAGAGGGCGACCGGCCACACUGGGACUGAGACACGGCCCAGACUCCUACGGGAGGCAGCAGUGGGGAAUCUUGCGCAAUGGGCGAAAGCCUGACGCAGCGACGCCGCGUGAGGGAUGACGGCCUGUGUAACU